rnacentral:tRNA from 1 species
GGUGCCGUAGCCUAGUGGUUAAGGCGAUGACUAAAAAUCUUUUUGGAUAUUCCCGCGCAGGUUCGAAUCCUGCCGACGACG